rnacentral:rRNA from 1 species
AUUGAACGCUGGCGGCAGGCCUAACACAUGCAAGUCGAACGGUAACAGAAAGCAGCUUGCUGCUUCGCUGACGAGUGGCGGACGGGUGAGUAAUGUCUGGGAAGCUGCCUGAUGGAGGGGGAUAACUACUGGAAACGGUAGCUAAUACCGCAUAAUGUCGCAAGACCAAAGAGGGGGACCUUCGGGCCUCUUGCCAUCGGAUGUGCCCAGAUGGGAUUAGCUUGUUGGUGGGGUAACGGCUCACCAAGGCGACGAUCCCUAGCUGGUCUGAGAGGAUGACCAGCCACACUGGAACUGAGACACGGUCCAGACUCCUACGGGAGGCAGCAGUGGGGAAUAUUGCACAAUGGGCGCAAGCCUGAUGCAGCCAUGCCGCGUGUAUGAAGAAGGCCUUCGGGUUGUAAAGUACUUUCAGCGGGGAGGAAGGGAGUAAAGUUAAUACCUUUGCUCAUUGACGUUACCCGCAGAAGAAGCACCGGCUAACUCCGUG